rnacentral:snRNA from 1 species
GAUCAAAGUGUAGUAUCUGUUCUCGUUAGCUUAAUAUCUGACGUGGUCCCCAUUGGGGUCCAGGAUAUUAAUCUCAUUUUUGGUAUGGGGCGGAGCUGUUGAAGCUUGCUUCAUCUCUGCCACGGGUUGGC